UUCAGGUGGUGACGAAGAAAUUGGAAAAGCUUACCGACUGGCCUAGUCUGUAGCACAUAUUGAACAGAUAGCAGCCGAAAUGAGCAGCUUGGAGCUUGUCGAACCACCAAAUUGAGCCACGCGUCGGAGGUUGUAUGACAUCCACUAUUAGUUUAUAUAGUAUGCGUUCUUUUGGGAUACAUGUAGUUUAAAUCAGAAAAAAAUUAAUUACGGGCUCAUUAGAUAUUUGGUAUUAUUACAUUUUAAGAUUGUUGGUUGUAAAGCAAGUAAAUAUUGAUUUGCUAGGAUUUUAUUUAAAUAGUUUGUAUUUUUAGGGACUGACGUACCAUGAUUUAUAUUAUAUGUAUUGAUUUGAGGAAAUUGGUUAUUGUUCAA